UUUUGAAGGCAAAUCCGGCUGCGUCACUUCCAGCCUGGUGGGACGGGGGAGAAGGUCCGCGCAGCCGGACCGACAAAGAGUUGGUGUCUCUUUGAGCGUUAUGACUAAAAGCGAAGAGCUGGUUUGGUUUUAAAUGUCAACAGCGGGGGAAAAAAAAAAAAAUUAACAAGGCGGCGAGAAAAGAGCGGCUGCAUUGGCCGGGAAUCGAACCCGGGCCUCCCGCGUGGCAGGCGAGAAUUCUACCACUGAACCACCAAUGCUUCUGCCGAUAAAACUGUUUACUUCCGCAACUCGAAGGUGAUAAAUGCGAAUUUCUUUGUCCCAUUGCACUCGCCUAGAAUUCCGUCCUGAUGAUCGAACGCGUUUCUUUGGCUAUUUCUUUUCCGUAACAAAUGUGAGUUAUGCCAAGUGAAUAGUAAGCACCCACUUUUAUCUACGUGUUCUUUGCUUGUGACUUGUCUGCACCUCUUCAAGCUUUCAUAGAUGGUGUUGUUCUGGGGAAGAAAACGUGUCUGAGCGUGCUAAGGAAAACCUGCAGCCGAGCGGAGUCAGACCAGGAAACUGCCCUUAAUGGUGUCUGUGCCAGGAAUGGAGGCUGCCCCACCAGCAUCUCAAAGAGAAUUACUCCAACACUCCACCAGUCACACAACUGUGUGUAACCUGAAAUAAAGUUCAAACAAGUAUCACAUCCUGGGGAGAAGAGAAGCAGGACACCUGAGUAGCAGCCACUCUGCAGUGAGACUGCAGCACAAAAGCACACUGGUUACCUGUCCGUAACAACACUUCAGGUGCAAUGUAGUUGGGAGUGCCCAC